rnacentral:lncRNA from 1 species
GUACGUAAUCCUCAUAAGCAUUUUGUAAACAAGACCCUUUUUUCGAUUACCAAGAUUUGCCGUACCAAUAUGUAUCAUUUUAUAUACUAGACAUACCAUAUUGUACCAAUAUCAAAAUGAGAUUUGGUACGAGGAGCGUACUGAGUCUCAGCUCAUCGAGUCGAUCUCAGCCAUAUUAAUAUUGUAUCAGGAUAAUACUGGUAGAGAAUUCAUUAACGGGAUGGUGAACUUUGCUUCAUAUAUUUGCUAGAUUCUGAGUCAGAAUAUGGUAUUUUCAAUCUAAUUCAUAAAGAAGAAGAGAGAAGGAAAAAAAUAUAGAUCCAAGCACUUUAUAUGAUCAUUUUAUGCUCGGAAAUGAUGAUGAAAAGGAAGCAGAGACUUGAAAGAAGCUGCCAAG